ACCCUGCUAGCUCAAUUGGCAGAGCGUGAGACUCUUAAGAUAUCCGGUUUAUCUCAAGGUUGGGGGUUCGAGACCCCCGUGGGGUG
rnacentral:tRNA from 1 species